ACCGCCCUGCGUGGUCACGUGUGUUCGCGGGGGAGUUGGCGCGGGAGGCGGCUCUGGAGACGCAAAAGGACACAGAGGCGUCGGGUUGGGGUGUAUAUCGCUAAGCCAGAGAGACUAUCGGCGCAGGGAAAGCCCCGGAGCGGUGUACUGAGUCAGGGUACGACCUGGGACAGCGCAUGAGGGACGUCAACGCACCACACACCGGCCACAGGCCUGCAGCAGGCCUGCGCGAGUCAGUGGUCCACAAACUUAGAAGCCUUGAGACAAGGACAGAAACCGAAAGGCUUGACCGAGACCACAAAAGAGAUUUGCAUACUGAGAAAGUGUGAAACGCGAAGGUGGAGACUAAAGCGAGAGACUCCGGAGCCCCUAAACAGACAGGAAGAUGGAACAAGAUUGACAGCACUCUGAGGAGACAAAUGGAUCA